CAGAAACUUGGAGUCAUUAAAUAUAAAAGAAUUAGAGGACCUAAUGAUUUACAUUGUGGAUGCUUCAAAUGCUGGGUUCAAGUUGGAUUGCCUGCAAUUGCAACCUAUUGCAUGCAAAGCAAAGNNNNNNNNNNNNNGACCAGUGUAAUUCUUUGGAGAAGCAGAAGUCUUCUUUAGAAUGUCAACUGCGAGAGGUAGAAUCUGAAUGCCAGAAAGCAGAGGUUGAGCUACAAAAUCAUCGUCAAGAGCUUGUAUCUCUCACUGAAGGACUUGUUUAUCAGUUUAUACC
rnacentral:misc_RNA from 1 species